CCUACGGGCGACAGCAGUGAGGAAUAUUGGUCAAUGGGCGCGAGCCUGAACCAGCCAAGUAGCGUGAAGGAUGACUGCCCUAUGGGUUGUAAACUUCUUUUAUAUGGGAAUAAAAUGUUCCACGUGUGGGAUUUUGUAUGUACCAUAUGAAUAAGGAUCGGCUAACUCCGUGCCAGCAGCCGCGGUAAUACGGAGGAUCCGAGCGUUAUCCGGAUUUAUUGGGUUUAAAGGGUGCGUAGGCGGACUGGAAAGUCAGCGGUAAAAUCGAGAGGCUCAACCUCUUUCCGCCGUUGAAACUGUCGGUCUGGAGUGGGCGAGAAGUAUGCGGAAUGCGUGGUGUAGCGGUGAAAUGCAUAGAUAUCACGCAGAACUCCGAUUGCGAAGGCAGCAUACCGGCGCCCGACUGACGCUGAGGCACGAAAGCGUGGGUAUCGAACAGGAUUAGAUACCCUAGUAGUC
rnacentral:rRNA from 1 species